AUUUUACAACUUCAUGGCCAAUCGGAACAAAACUUUCCAAACAUUAUUCGUAUGGUCUAUGUUUACACCUACAUAACCAAACAUACCGAUCAACAUGGGCACAAGUGCUAAAAUUAAACAAAAGGUUACAAUGCAAGUUUUAUCUAAGACAUCACAAACCGUUACAAAGAGAGAACACCUGGCAGAGUAAACAGGUGCUUUAAAAGAUCAAGC
rnacentral:lncRNA from 1 species